rnacentral:misc_RNA from 1 species
GAUGAAGAACGUAGCGAAAUGCGAUAAGUAAUGUGAAUUGCAGAAUUCAGUGAAUCAUCGAAUCUUUGAACGCACAUUGCGCCCGCCAGUAUUCUGGCGGGCAUGCCUGUUCGAGCGUCAUUUCAACCCUCAAGACCCCUUCGGGGGACUUGGUGUUGGGGACCGGCACAGGGGCCUGCCUGCUUGUCUUGCAGCGCCCUCGCCGCCCCCGAAAUGAAUUGGCGGCCUCGUCGCGGCCUCCUCUGCGUAGUAGCACAACCUCGCAACGGGAACGUGACGGCGGCCACUGCCGUAAAACAACCCCAAUUUUAUUAGAGUUGACCUCGAAUCAGGUAGGAAUACCCGCUGAACUUAAGCAUAUCAAUAAGCGGAGGA